rnacentral:rRNA from 1 species
CUACGGGUCGCUGCAGUGGGGAAUAUUGCACAAUGGAGGAAACUCUGAUGCAGCAACGCCGCGUGGAGGAUGACACUUUUCGGAGCGUAAACUCCUUUUAUAUAGGAAGAAGAUGACGGUACUAUAUGAAUAAGCGCCGGCUAACUCCGUGCCAGCAGCCGCGGUAAUACGGAGGGCGCAAGCGUUACUCGGAAUCACUGGGCGUAAAGAGCGUGUAGGCGGAUUAAAAAGUCAGAAGUGAAAUCCUAUAGCUUAACUAUAGAACUGCUUCUGAAACUCUUAAUCUAGAAUAUGGGAGAGGUAGAUGGAAUUUCUGGUGUAGGGGUAAAAUCCGUAGAGAUCAGAAGGAAUACCGAUUGCGAAGGCGAUCUACUAGAACAUUAUUGACGCUGAGACGCGAAAGCGUGGGGAGCAAACAGGAUUUAGAUACCCCCGUAGUC